UGUGGAGCAUAGAAGAGGGGCGGAAGGGUGUGGGUUCCUCCAAGAGGGGAAAGCUCGGUGGCUCGUCUCCCUGAUUUGGACACACCAUUGCCCAAUACUGGAGCCUAUGCAGAGGCAGUAAGAAUGGUGUGGGUUGAUGGAAAAAGAAUGCGGUACCAGAAGCUUCCUUCCUGGGGCCGUAUGAAAAGGGCAGGCCUUACUGUAAAACUAAGGGACAGAGAAAUGUUAUAAUCAGACCGUUAAAUGCUUAUUAUAAGACAUCUCGCAAAGCUUGCAUUUUAGAAAACAUCAAAUGAUUCUACACAUGACUUGGUUAAGGUAAAAAUAGUUUCAGACUGUCUAACACAUUGCAACUGCAUGAGCAGCCAGUCUAGACAUGGACUGUAAAAAUAGAUCUAUGCUUUGCAGACCCUGAGAAAACUUGUAACUUCCCAGUAUGACAGACACUGUCCCAGGAUGUUGUUUCAGCCGACUCUUUGGAACCUGAACCCACUGAAGCUGGACUUCCUCCGAGAGGAGAACUGGAAGGAACUGUCGGCCCUCGGGAGGAGCUGGCAGAGCUGGGCUAGGCCAUCUUGAAGAUCUGUGGAGAGGAUCUGUCUCCAUCUUGUGGCCACUUAAGUGGCCCGGAGGGAACUCACUAGGAGAAACAGCAUUAAAUUGAUCAAGCCACGCACUUCGCUGGCACCCUAGCAACCAAUGAGCGCCAAGUCAACCACAGCGGUUAAAACCCAAACAGAGCUUAGUAAGAUUUAAUAAGCUGGAACCAAGCCGCCUUCCUAAGCAAGUCAGACUCUACAUUAUACAUCUCUAGCUGGGCUUGAAUUCACAACUACACAUAAACCCUCGGUCAUAAAUAAAAGGCCCGGAACGACGAGGAUGGGAUUCGAACCCACGCGUGCAGAGCACAAUGGAUUAGCAGUCCAUCGCCUUAACCACUCGGCCACCUCGUCAGAGCAUGCCAGUGGCACCACGUGGCUCGGUCAGAGUUUUCUACCUCCUGGCCACAUUGUGGCGCUCCGAGGGGCACUGGGGCAGUCGGGGACACGUGGCUUGUCCCCAGACAAAAGAACUAGAAACGAAGAAAAGGAGAGGGGCGAGAAACCCCAACAACAACAUCAACAACAGGCUGCUGGGAUGUGUGUGCUUCCGCAGCGUUCAGCAAAGCAGUCCCCAGGACAGGAGCACCGGGGACGAGCGUCCUGGGCGGCCCCUGUCUGCAGACGUUGGAGCGUGAGGCCGUGCAGGAGGGGGCGGUGGGCGCGGCAGAGGUGGGCAUGACAGAGGAGGGCGCGGCAGAGGAGGGCAUGACAGAGGUG